CUUUACUGUAGCCUGGAAUUGGGUUCGGGCUUUGACUGCGCAGGAUAGGUGGGAGACUAUGAGACAUCCCUUGUGGGGGAUGUGGAGUCAUCAGUGAGAUACCACUCUGUCAAGGCUAGAAUUCUAACUCAUUGCCGUGAUCCGGCAUGGGAACAGUUUCAGGUGGGCAGUUUGACUGGGGCGGUCGCCUCCUAAACGAUAACGGAGGCGCACAAAGGUUCCCUCAGGCUGGUUGGAAAUCAGCCGAAGAGUGUAAAGGCACAAGGGAGCUUGACUGUGAGACUGACAGGUCGAGCAGGGUGGAAACACGGUCUUAGUGAUCCGACGGCACUGAGUGGAAGGGCCGUCGCUCAACGGAUAAAAGUUA
rnacentral:rRNA from 1 species